CAAGCUAGGGUUGGAGCCGCCGCCCCUCCGGCAACGCGCCGCUCGCCUCCUCCAGCCCACAUGCCCCAGCGACUCCUCCCUGCUCGACUCCCGACGAGUCGCGCCGCCCCCGGUCACGUUGGGACACACCUCCUCCCGGCUCCAUCUCCUCCUCCCCGUCUCCUGCUGGUGAAAGCUCCGUCUCUCUUCCUUUGGUUGAGGGUCUGAUAAUGGACGUAAGACAUCUGUUGGAGAGGAGAUUAAAAUAUGGAAGAUAGCAGCAGACGAGGUAGUUGAAGCUGGUAGAUCAAUUGAGCAAGAGCCCCAGAUCCAGCAAACAAUGUUGAGAAACAAGAGUAACAAUUACGUAGUAGUAGAUCAUACAAAGGACUGGUGACGAUUCAUCAGUCAUGGUCCAAGAACGACAUGGAAAUUAAAAUGAAGCACGACAUGUCCGCAUAAUAGCAGAAGCAGACCAAGAGAAGAAAAUUGAUUAGCAGCUCAACAACGACGCCUGCUAAGAGAGGAUCAACACGUGCAUCCUUUUGCCAUUUCGGAAGCCCCACAUCCUCGAGCUUGAUAGGCUCAUCUACCAUCCUGGCCGACGUCCUUGCCAUCUUCCCCGAGCCCCACAACAACCUCGUCAGCUGCCGCCGGAGCAGAGCACAUCGGCAGACCAAGAUGAGGAUAGCCCAUACCGCACCCAAGGUUUUUAGUAGAUGAAGGACAAAAGUCUGCGCACAGAAGACCAUUCUUGAUGGAUUCAAGAGAAUCAAGAGUGAAGCAUCAAGAUACGAUAAAUAUGUCGAUUACAAAUAUGCCUACCGAGACACGGGUUGUUUCAUAUAUCUUUGGUUGAUUUGGAUCUGCUCACAGAGAAAAAGGAUGACCAUAUAUAUAUGGUAGUUACUUCCAUGUCACAAAGGUGCUCUUUAGUAGGUACUGCAUAAUCAUGUUAAAGUUUCACAACAUUCACAUUCUCAGUGUUGUUCUCAUAUCCUGUAUCUCC